AUUGAACGCUGGCGGCAGGCCUAACACAUGCAAGUCGAGCGGAUGAUGGGAGCUUGCUCUCUGAUUUAGCGGCGGACGGGUGAGUAAUGCCUAGGAAUCUGCCUGGUAGUGGGGGAUAACGUUCCGAAAGGAACGCUAAUACCGCAUACGUCCUACGAGAGAAAGCGGGGGAUCUUCGGACCUCGCGCUAUCAGAUGAGCCUAGGUCGGAUUAGCUAGUUGGUGAGGUAAAGGCUCACCAAGGCGACGAUCCGUAACUGGUCUGAGAGGAUGAUCAGUCACACUGGAACUGAGACACGGUCCAGACUCCUACGGGAGGCAGCAGUGGGGAAUAUUGGACAAUGGGCGAAAGCCUGAUCCAGCCAUGCCGCGUGUGUGAAGAAGGUCUUCGGAUUGUAAAGCACUUUAAGUUGGGAGGAAGGGUUGUAGAUUAAUACUCUGCAAUUUUGACGUUACCGACAGAAUAAGCACCGGCUAACUUCGUGCCAGCCGCCGCAGUAAUAC
rnacentral:rRNA from 1 species